CGCAAUGGGCGAAAGUCUGACGGAGCGACGCCGCGUGAUUGAUGAAGCUUUUCGGAGUGUAAAGAUCUUUUAUGAGGGAAGAAGUUUAUUGACGGUACCUCAUGAAUAAGGGGCUCCUAAUCUCGUGCCAGCAGGAGCGGUAAUACGAGAGCCCCGAGCGUUAUCCGGAAUUAUUGGGCGUAAAGGGUGCGUAGGUGGUUGUGUUAGUCGUUUGUCAAAUCUCCGGGCUUAACUCGGAAUCCGCGAACGAAACGGCACAACUUGAGAGUGUGAGGGGUAUAGGGAACUCAUGGUGUAGGGGUGAAAUCCGUUGAUAUCAUGGGGAACACCAAAAGCGAAGGCACUAUACUGGCACAUAUCUGACACUCAAGCACGAAAGCGU
rnacentral:rRNA from 1 species